rnacentral:rRNA from 1 species
AUGGCUUCUACAUGCCAUUCCUCCGCCUCUACCUCGCCGGCUCUCGCAGCCUCGGUCGCCACGGUAAUUCAUCCUCUAGUUGCAUGUUUUUUGAGCCUCAGGGAAGAUAAGAAGCAUGUGAAAUAUAUUCAGGAACAUGUGAGGAAGAACCGGCUGACGACGGGCAAGGGCAUGGGGUACCUGGAGGCCAAGCACCACCUGCUGCUGAGCUACUGCCAGGGCCUCGUCUACUACCUGCUAUGCAAGGCCAAUGGGUUGUCUGUCGAUGGCCACCCUAUUGCGCGCAGCCUUGUCGAGAUCGGGCUGUUUCUUAAGAAGAUUCGCCCAAUAGACAAGAAGAUGGAGUACCAGAUCCAGAAGCUCACCAAUGCCGCAGAUGGUGCGGCAGCCCAGGAUAAGGCGCCAGGCGCCAAGGUUAAUGGGAAGGGCGGGCAACAAGAUGAGGGCGACCUGUUGGGGUACCGGCCAAACCCGGAUAUGUUGGAUAUCAAAAUUUUCGAAUUUUUUGAUGUGUGGGACCAAUUUUGGGAUAAGCAUGACAAGUGGGACCAAUCUUGCUGGUCACAAGUUGACAUAUUUCUUGUAGUGUCAAAAGGUAUAAUUUUUGUGUUAUAUAGUUUAUAUUAG